UACGUAGUGGGCAAGCGUUAUCCGGAAUUACUGGGUGUAAAGGGAGAGUAGGCGGCAAGGUAAGCGAUAUGUGAAAGCCUUAGGCUUAACCUGAGGAUUGCAUAACGAACUAUCUAGCUAGAGUACAGGAGAGGAAAGCGGAAUUCCUAGUGUAGCGGUGAAAUGCGUAGAUAUUAGGAAGAACACCAGUGGCGAAGGCGGCUGUCUGGUCUGCAACUGACGCUGAGGCUCGAAAGCAUGGGUAGCGAACAGG
rnacentral:rRNA from 1 species